AGAUUGAACGCUGGCGGCAUGCCUUACACAUGCAAGUCGAACGGUAGAGUAGCAAUACUCGAGAGUGGCGAACGGGUGAGUAAUAUAUCGGAACGUGCCCAGUCGUGGGGGAUAACGUAGAGAAAUUUACGCUAAUACCGCAUACGAUCUACGGAUGAAAGCGGGGGAUUCGCAAGAACCUCGCGCGAUUGGAGCGGCUGAUAUCAGAUUAGGUUGUUGGUGAGUAAAAGCUCACCAAGCCGACGAUCUGUAGCUGGUUUGAGAGAACGACCAGCCACACUGGGACUGAGACACGGCCCAGACUCCUACGGAGGCAGCAGUGGGAAUUUUUGGACAAUGGGCGAAAGCCUGAUCCAGCAAAUGCCGCGUGCAGGAAGAAGGCCUGGUUGUAACUAGUCUUUGUACGAACGAAACGGUACCGUUCUAAUAAAGUAAGGACUAAUAGAACGGUACCGUAAACGAAAUAAGUACACGACAACUAACGUACGCCACGCACGACCGCGGUAAGUCUCGA
rnacentral:rRNA from 1 species